rnacentral:rRNA from 1 species
AUUUCUAGCUUGCUAGAAGAUGACGAGCGGCGGACGGGUGAGUAAUACUUAGGAAUCUACCUAGUAGUGGGGGAUAGCUCGGGGAAACUCGAAUUAAUACCGCAUACGACCUACGGGAGAAAGGGGGCAGUUUACUGCUCUCGCUAUUAGAUGAGCCUAAGUCGGAUUAGCUAGAUGGUGGGGUAAAGGCCUACCAUGGCGACGAUCUGUAGCUGGUCUGAGAGGAUGAUCAGCCACACCGGAACUGAGACACGGUCCGGACUCCUACGGGAGGCAGCAGUGGGGAAUAUUGGACAAUGGGGGCAACCCUGAUCCAGCCAUGCCGCGUGUGUGAAGAAGGCCUUUUGGUUGUAAAGCACUUUAAGCAGUGAAGAAGACUCCGUGGUUAAUACCCACGGACGAUGACAUUAGCUGCAGAAUAAGCACCGGCUAACUCUGUGCCAGCAGCCGCGGUAAUACAGAGGGUGCAAGCGUUAAUCGGAAUUACUGGGCGUAAAGCGAGCGUAGGUGGCUUGAUAAGUCAGAUGUGAAAUCCCCGGGCUUAACCUGGGAACUGCAUCUGAUACUGUUAGGCUAGAGUAGGUGAGAGGAAGGUAGAAUUCCAGGUGUAGCGGUGAAAUGCGUAGAGAUCUGGAGGAAUACCGAUGGCGAAGGCAGCCUUCUGGCAUCAUACUGACACUGAGGCUCGAAAGCGUGGGUAGCAAACAGGAUUAGAUACCCUGGUAGUCCACGCCGUAAACGAUGUCUACUAGUCGUUGGGUCCCUUGAGGACUUAGUGACGCAGCUAACGCAAUAAGUAGACCGCCUGGGGAGUACGGCCGCAAGGUUAAAACUCAAAUGAAUUGACGGGGGCCCGCACAAGCGGUGGAGCAUGUGGUUUAAUUCGAUGCAACGCGAAGAACCUUACCUGGUCUUGACAUAUCUAGAAUCCUGCAGAGAUGCGGGAGUGCCUUCGGGAAUUAGAAUACAGGUGCUGCAUGGCUGUCGUCAGCUCGUGUCGUGA